UUUUAAUUGAUAUCACCAGUUAUUUUUUGUCAUAAUUUUUGGCGGUAAGUGCGAAAAACUUGAUUGCAUUUGAUAAUGGACUUCUUAUGGCGAUUCCAGCUAUCAUAAUUCCAACACUCACUGGAAUUUUCAAUGAACAUAACCGAAAUGAGCUCAUAACGAUAACAGCCGUUCAAACAUCUUGGUUCGGAGCUAUUGGAGUUUUUACCAAACCGAUUGGAAGUUUAGUAUCAGGAAUAAUUACAGAUCAAUGGGGUUCGGAAACGGGUGAUGAUUUUUCUGAAUAUUUUUUAUGCAAUUGGAUGGUACACACUUUAUCGAUCUAGUACCGUUUGGCAAGUAUUUGCUGGAGCCGCAGAAGGUGAAAUUAGUUGAGAAUUGGUGUCUCAAAUUCAGACAUGCGCACAGUUUUUUCCAUCAGGAGAGGUGGAAAUAGAGAAUUAUUUUCAGAGUAAAAUCGUUAAUUUUAUCCGGGGGUCAAUUCGAGAAAAAAAAUCUCCAGGAGGGAGUUAAACCGGAAUUCUCCCGGCGCGAAUGUGUCCUCAGAUUCAUUGAUUCAAUCCAAUUGAAUAUGAAUUUUCAUAUCAAUUAACGAAAAAAAUAUAUUUCUCAGAACCUUCAUUUCGAGGUGUUUUCGCUGGUUGAUAUAGUUUAUGAAAUGCAAUUUUUUAUGUAAAAAUAUCCACAAUGUGGAUUACACAUUGUAUAAAACAAAUUUUAUGAUUAAGUUACACAAUGUGGUUUCUUUCAUUAGUCUUUAUAUUUUUGGUUAGUUGCACGGGAAAACGGCCACAACAUUUAUUCGCUAUUGUAGCUGUAUAAUGUUGUAACGUUAGCCUUACUUGGUUCGGAUUCACCUAUUUAUCUGCGGGAUAUAUUUUUUUCGAUCAAGCACAUCGUGAACCAUUUUAUUUAGAAAACAACACUCUUGGAUACAUUCCGUUGGUUUUCUUUAAUCAUAUGGUCUUUUUGUGGAUCCUUGAAUUGAAAUCGAAAGAGAACGAAUGAGUGAGCUCUGUAUUAAUUCAUUGGACUUCUCCAAGAUUUUACAAUUUAAAACAAUUUGGCGGACUGUGAUUCAACGAUCGUGAUUCAACCACUUUAUCUAUCUCACACACAUUAUCACAGAUCAAGUGAUUUCAGUGAAUUCAACUGACACACUUAGAAUCGGACUUAAUUUCCAGUAGAGAAAAAUCAUUUAAAAAAUGGAUUUGGACGUGGGUAUCGACUUGCAGCUGCAAAUUUUCAUUUUGGCCGCCGUAUUUGUUUUCAUUUUAUUUGUGAUUGUUUGUUUUUUGGCCGGAAUUUGCGGUCAAUUAACAAAAAUUAAGAAAAUCCAACGAAAACUCAUUCAAGAUGCCAAUAAUCAUCCAACUGGUUACGAUAAUUAUGCAUAUAGCUCACGCAAUAUUCAACCCGAUGAAGAGCUAUCACGUCGUGGAUACACAAUGUACGAUCCAUAUAGAAACAAUAAUAAUCAAACAUCGAAUGUGUGAGUUUUGCCAUAAAUAUAUGGCAGACAUUUUCCUUUCGUUAGCUUAUCUCCAAAAAAAAAUCUCUUCACAAUAUAUUUAUAUCGCUGUUAAUUGCUUCACUCUUAAUUUUCGCAUAUACCUAUCCUACCAAAGUAAAAAAAUGUCCCAUUAUUCUGAGCUCGAUCCAUUCUUUGUAGUCAUCAAAAUUCAAACAACAACAACAACAACAACAGUGGCAGCCUCAAUCGAUUCACGAAGACGAAACACAUCAUGCAACAAAGUAAUUUGGUCGAAAUGAGUGUGGCAGACGAUGUAGAAAGUCGAGAUGAAGCCGAAUAUGCAAUUGCAAAUGCCGAAACAAUUGUUAUGACCGGCAAUGAUGUUGAAAUGAAGAUAAAAACAAACUAUCCACCAGAGUUUAAGGGCGUUCCGCCACCACCCGCAUUUGCAAAUCGCUUUGACAUUGAGGAAAAUCCAACCACCACCAAAUCAGAAGAACAAAAAUAAACUCAAUCGAUCAAAUUUAGUUUAGUUGCGGCAAGAUGAUGAGGAUCCAUAUUUUAAAUCAGCCAUUUGUUUCAUGAAAAUAUUUCAUGUAUAUUUUUAUUGAAAAUCAAGAUAUAAAUUUCUAUAUUCGAAAAAGUAAAAA